GUAUAUAUAUAUAUAACAUACAUGACAUAUAUAAGUAAUUUAUUCCUUUGUUGGUUCAGGGAAGUAUGAUUUUCUAAAUGUGUCGCUUAAUGUGUUUAUUAAUGCAGUUUCAAUUAUAUACACUCUUUCCUUACUGAAGUAUUCAUCUACUACGUGGAGCAUGAUGUCUGCAGACCAAGGUGAAUUUAGUGAAUAUCAAAAACUUCUUGAGUGCUCCAUCGUAACGCCAUUUAUCUUGACAUAAACUGCAAAGAUGGCUCAAAUGUCGAUAAGGAUAUCAGUUCAGGGUCUCCAGUGGCUGCAGCCUAUCCCAGAAGCUCAGGGUGCAAGGCAAGAAGUAAUCGUGGGACCAGGCGCCGUGGCUCUCGCCUGUAAUCCCAGCACUUUGGGAGGCAGAGGCUGGUGAAUCACUUGAGGUCAGGGGUUCCAGACUAGCCUGGCCAACAUGAUGAAACCUCAUCUCCACUAAAAAUACAAAUAUUAAUUGGAUGUAGUGGUACAUGCCUGUAAUCCCAGCUACUCGGGAGGCUGAAGCUUGAACCCGGAGGCAGCGGUUGCAGUGAGCUGAGAUCGUGAUACUGCACUCCAGCCUGGGUGAGGGAGUGAGACUCUAAAAAAAAAAAAAAAAAAAAAAAAAAAAAAAAAAAGACUAACCAUGGGCAAGACAUCGUCCCAUUGCAGGGUGCACUCACACACACCCACACUCACUCACACUGGGACAGUGUAGACACACCGAUGAACCCAACAUGCACAUCUUUGGGAUACUAGAGUAAACUGGAGUGCUUAGAGAAAACCCAUGAGAACAUAGGAAGAACUUGCAUACCCCACACAGACAGUGGUCCCUGCAGGGUUUUUCUGUUUGUUGGUUGUUUUUCCUUCAUCAAGUUUGUAAUGAAACGAUGUUGAAUGAUAAAAUAUUAUUUGAGGAAUUGUUGUACAAGGAUUUUGGCAUUUGUCUGUAUAUGGAAAUCAAAGACAUUUUAAAGUGAUUAUAAAUCUUUGUACAUGUUGACAAUAUUCAAUUCAGUUAAAGGCUUUAUCACGGUACAUUGUGACCUCUCUUUAAAUGGUUACAUUACUUUGAGCUCUGAAAAUUUGUUAUACUUACAUUGUUCUAAUUGUUCAUAACUAGGAAUUCACUGACUUUGCUUUAAUGUAUGCUAGGAAAACUGAAGUAGAUAAAUCAUACUUCCCCUUUCAGUCUCCUUCUCUCUUUUGGAUUUAAUUUUAACUCGAGGUUUAUUAAUUACAGAAGUUACACUCAUGUUGCUGCAAAUGUAUUUUUUCUAGUUGUUAAUUUGUUCAUGACAUUCUGCUUGAUGAUAGUAAUAUUAUGAUGAAGGUGCCUCAGAUAUCAAAAAAGAUUUCAAGUCUAUAGAACGUACCUCUAGCUACAGAGUCACAGGAUAUGUGACAGCAAUGAUAUUAGGGGAUGCUGAGCUGGAAACCCAAUUCAGCACCAGAGACAGAAAUACUGUAUUUUGACUCAUUCAUCUUACAUGGAAGAUGAAGCCUGCCAAUCAAGUAGAAAAUGUAGGCCUCCAAGACAAUAACUCACCUGCCUUUUUGUGGUUUAUAUUUUUCAUCUUGGUUAAAAAGUGUCCAUUGAUAGGGGAUUUAAUCAAAACAUUAAAGAAGACAUAAUAUAGCCACCAAAUCUAAUUAUUUCCAACUACUAGAUAUCAGAGCUUUAAAAAAAUUGUUUUUAACUGCAUUUGCUUCAUUUUUCUUAUGGGAUAUUAAUAGAAAAAUGGAGUGCAUUUCUAACAGUUGCAUUUUUUCAUAUGUGUGGCUAUGUUUAUGCUGAUAUUAGUUAAAAGUUCUAAAAACAAGCAAAGAAAAUAUACACAGUUUUUUGGCAUUGAUUGGUUGAUAUAAUAAUUAUGUAUAUUUACUUAAUAUGCAUAAUUUAAAAAUGUAUAUUUUUAUGUAUAUAUAUUUAUACGUAUAUAAUUACGUAUAUUUACUUAAUAUACAUAAUUAUUACUAUGAGCUUGGGCAAAAAAUGUAUUUUGGCAUUCCACUGUUCAGUUUUAAGUCAUUUAUUGGUACAUAAUUCUUUUAUUUCUACUUCAAUAAAUAUAAUUAAGUUUUGUGAAAGCCGUGUUCUAAUGAACAAGUAAUUCUUUCUUUUAAAAUAUUCCUUUUAAUUCUAAUUUAAAGUUUCUUAAGUAAAAAUAUAGCUCUUCAAUAAUAAUAUUAUAAUGUGUUUCUCUUCUAAAAUAAACAGAUUUUAUACUCAUUAUUUUAAAAUGUGAUCAAAACCACAUAAUUGUUUUUAGUCUUCUGAUUGGGAUUUUUAAAAAGAAAAUUCAAAGUUUGGCAUUAAAUAUAUUUUCUGUAAGAUAAUAUAACUACAUAUGAUAAAAUGAUUAAGUACUCUGAUAGUGUCACUAUUUCAAUACCAUUAUUAUCUUUAACAUAUGUUAAAACACUCCAGUACAUAACUAAUAAAGAGGAAUUCACAUGGCCAGCAAUUUUAAACUGGUGCAGCAAACUUAUCUUUUGUGUUUGCAAACAUAAGAGAACUGAAGAAGCAAGAUGCAAACAAUGUCUCCGUUGUUCAGCAUGUGUUUUAUGAUAUAAUACAUUCGUUCAUGUUGUGUUAUACAAAUUUUGCAGGGAGGGUUGCUCGUUUUAUCAAUUUGUGUAUUUUUUAUUUCAUAUUUUGUACGCAAUCAUGAGCAUUUUUCUUAUAAAUUGUACACAACAAGAACCUGUUGAAGAUUAGAAGGAAGGAGCAGCACAUACUUUUAGCAAUCCUUUUAUCUUACCAAUCACUGGAAGAAAAUGAUGCCAAGAAGCCAUGUGAGAUAUCAUCUCUGUCUGUCAUGUUUUCAGAACAGAGUGUGGCUUACUAAUGUUGCCAUUGCAGGCUAUGCUUUGUCAAGUGAAUACGGUUUUCAUCUUAAGGGGAUAGUAAGCAAGAUGUUAGCAAUACUCACUCAUCUUCAGAUUUCAUUGUCAAAUAUACUAAUAUUUCAAAAAUAUGGUUUUCAUCUAGAAAAAAAUGGAGAUUUUGAGUGUACAAAUAUAGCCAAUGCAGGUUAAAUUUAAACAGAGAUUUUUUUUUAAUCUCUCCCUUUUUUAUACUUUUUUUUUUUUUUUUUGAGACAGAGUCUUGCCCUGUCACCCAGGCUUCAGUGCAAUGGUGCAAUCUCGACUCACUGCAACCUCCGCCUCCCAGGUUCUAGUGAUUCUCCUGCCUCAGCCUCCCAAGUAGCUGGGAUUACAGGCACGCGCUACCACACCUGGCUAAUUUUUGUAUCUUUAGUAGAGACAGGUUUCACCAUGUUGGUCAGGCUGGUAUCGAACUCCUGACCUCAUGAUCCACCCGCCUCGGACUCCCGAAGUGCUGGGAUUACAGGCAUAAGCCACCACACCUGGCCCCCUUUUUUAUACUUUUUACAAGUAAUCUGACACUAGGUGCCACAUAAUUAAGAUAAAGACAAAAGUGCAAAACCAUGUAAAAUAUUGACUUCUAAUUGUGAAUUAGUUUCCCUUUUCUACUUGUUUUGCCUUGUUGGAUAUGAAACAUUUCAAGUAUGUCAUUGUAGGAUUAUUUUUGACAUUUUAUUCUUAGAAUGGUGAUUUAGUUGCAUAAUUCUCAUUUGCUAUACCACUUUUCUAAAAAAUAAAUGUUUGAAUUAUUGAAAUAUCCCAAGAUACUCCUUGUUAUAUAAUUGUAGAUCAUUACUUUAUUUUCAGACAAAUUAUGCUAUUGUGGAUAAAUAUUCAAUGUAUAAAAUACAGGACUUCUUUUUUCCUGUUUUACAAAACUCCAGUGCCCUUUCUUAUCUACUAUUUUAAUAUUCCUUUGCUAUAGUAUAUUGCAUAAUGUGGAGUCAACUAUUUUUUACAAUAUGUACGUGUUGAUCUGAAAGUUCCUAUUGAGUUAAAUAAUGAAAAAUAAUUUGGUGGACCAUGAAUUUUAAAUUUGUUAAAAAUUGUUUUAUUUGUGUAUGUGUAUAAAAUUAAAUUUUGCAAAUUGGUAAAUUUAUUCUUCAUUUAACCUUGUUGCUUUGAGUACUCCUAAAGCUUGUAAUAAUUCUUUGGGGAGUAAUAUAAAAUAUAUCAUUCAUAAGUGAA